rnacentral:lncRNA from 1 species
AUGCCAGUCACGGGGGGGGUGUGCCACGGCGGGCAGGCGGGAGGCCUCCAUCCCCUCCUCCUUCACACCGAUUGGCGRRYCGMGCUGCCAGUCASSGAUCCCCGCGCGGCGAUUGGYCAGGAGAGCCGUCAGUCAGGCAGAAAGGCGGGGCCUGGCGCGUCAGCGGCGGGCAGCAGCCGGGGGGCUGCCGAUGGUCCCGGCAGAAGAUGGCGGCCGCCGGCCGGGCCGGGCCCUGAGCAGCGCCGCGCCCGCUCCGCCCGCGGGGCCGAGGCCGCCGGGGGGCAGCGCCCGGCCCCGGCCGCACGGAAUCUGACCUGGAAGAAGCCAGCCAUGAAAGCUCACGGGAAUUUGUACUGCCUGUCUCCACAAUUACUAACAAGUGCCUUCCCGCUGGACCAUCAGUUUGAGAAGACGUUCAUAUAG